CUCAGAACAUCUCGGACACUGUUAGUGAGACGCGUGUAUUGUUGUGCCUUUCCUUCUACGAAGUGGUCGGCUUCUACCGGCUAGCAAUAUCAAUUAUAUUAAUCCAAGGUUUUCCCAAGGUCUAAGAAUGAGACAGACAGACCUGAUGGAGGAUGGUGUGGCUUCAAGCAGCAGAACGCUAUCUCGAAUGACUGCAGUAGUAAGAAAGGUCUGUAUACGGGCAGUUAAGAAACUUCGGCACCUAGGACAAAUGAAGGUUGGAAGUCGUCACUGCUUUGUCCUCACAGAUGAGAGCAAAUUUUUACAUAAGAG